UCCUGGAGCAAGAAGAUCUCAGGCUGUGACCCUCCAAAGGGAAGAACUUUCUGUUGUCUAAAAGAAAAGAACGCACUUCCCUUUAGAGUGUUACCGUGUGAGAAAAGCAACGUUGAAGCUG
rnacentral:precursor_RNA from 1 species